rnacentral:rRNA from 1 species
GAGUUUGAUCCUGGCUCAGGACGAACGCUGGCGGCGUGCUUAACACAUGCAAGUCGAGCGGUAAGGCCCUUUCGGGGGUACACGAGCGGCGAACGGGUGAGUAACACGUGGGUGACCUGCCCUCCACUCUGGGAUAAGCCCGGGAAACUGGGUCUAAUACCGGAUAGGACCACUGAUCGCAUGGUUGGUGGUGGAAAGUUUUUUCGGUGGGGGAUGGGCCCGCGGCCUAUCAGCUUGUUGGUGGGGUGAUGGCCUACCAAGGCGGUGACGGGUAGCCGGCCUGAGAGGGCGACCGGCCACACUGGGACUGAGACACGGCCCAGACUCCUACGGGAGGCAGCAGUGGGGAAUAUUGCGCAAUGGGCGGAAGCCUGACGCAGCGACGCCGCGUGGGGGAUGACGGCCUUCGGGUUGUAAACCUCUUUCGCCAGGGACGAAGAGCAAUUGACGGUACCUGGAGAAGAAGCACCGGCCAACUACGUGCCAGCAGCCGCGGUAACACGUAGGGUGCGAGCGUUGUCCGGAAUUAUUGGGCGUAAAGAGCUCGUAGGCGGUGUGUCGCGUCGGCCGUGAAAACUUGGGGCUUAACUCUGAGCGUGCGGUCGAUACGGGCAUCACUUGAGUUCGGCAGGGGAGACUGGAAUUCCUGGUGUAGCGGUGAAAUGCGCAGAUACCAGGAGGAACACCGGUGGCGAAGGCGGGUCUCUGGGCCGAUAC